rnacentral:snRNA from 14 species
GUGCUCGCUUCAGAAGUACAUAUACGAAAAUCGUCAGAAUACAGAAUACGAUAGGCCCUGUGCAAGGAUGAGCAGCAAAUUCAUGAAGCAAUACACAUUAUG